rnacentral:tRNA from 1 species
GGGGAUGUAGCUCAGUGGUAGAGUGCUCACCUCAUAUGUGAGAGACACUGUGUUCGAUCCUCAGCACCACA